CCCACUGGUCGCUUUGGGAUGCAGGCUGCAAUAACUUAGAUAUCCAGACACACUGGCCAACAGUAGCCAGUGAAAUCAUUGAUCAGCUCAUUACCUCUGCAGUAGUCCCCUGAAGAGUACAAAAUCCCAGCAUUGGGGAUAUGAGUCACUAGUAGUGGAGGGAGAUGUGGCAAACAUGAUGUACCCAAUCCUUCUUUCCUUCCCCUUGCGAAGCCAGCCAGAACUCCAGAUUCUCCUCGCUGAACUCUGUCUUCAGGAAGGCGCGGAAUGCAGCCACCCCAUCUACAAAGGGGAAACAUUGGAUUUAUGGAAAAAGGGAAGCAACUGCAGACAGCAUUGACACAGGGGUCACUCUCCAAAAACAGAAGCCUUGCCAGGGGACGUGAUGAACAGAG